rnacentral:rRNA from 1 species
UACGGAGGUGGCAAGCGUUGCUCGGAAUCACUGGGCGUAAAGGGCGCGUAGGCGGCUUAACAAGUCGGGGGUGAAAUCCAGCAGCUUAACUGUUGAAGUGCCUUCGAUACUGUCGAGCUCGAGCAAGGUAGGGGUGCGCGGAGCUUCUGGUGGAGCGGUGAAAUGCGUUGAUAUCAGGAGGAACACCGGUGGCGAAGGCGGUUCUCUGGGAAUAUCCUGACGCUGAGGAGCGAAAGUGUGGGGAGCGAACAGG